UUAAUUAAUUAUUAUCAGCGCGGCCUAUCAGCUUGUUGGUGAGGUAGUGGCUCACCAAGGCGACGACGGGUAGCCGGCCUGAGAGGGCGACCGGCCACACUGGGACUGAGACACGGCCCAGACUCCUACGGGAGGCAGCAGUGGGGAAUCUUGCACAAUGGGCGAAAGCCUGAUGCAGCAACGCCGCGUGCGGGAGGAAGGCCUUCGGGUUGUAAACCUCUUUCAGCAGGGACGAAGCGAAAGUGACUGUACCUGCAGAGGAAGCACCGGCUAACUACGUGCCAGCAGCCGCGGUAAUACGUAGGGUGCAAGCGUUGUCCGGAAUUAUUGGGCGUAAAGGGCUCGUAGGCGGUUCGGUAAGUCAGAUGUGAAAACUUGGGGCUCAACCCUGAGACGCCAUCUGAUACUGCUGUGACUUGAGUUCGGUAGAGGAGUGUGGAAUUCCUGGUGUAGCGGUGAAAUGCGCAGAUAUCAGGAGGAACACCUAUGGCGAAGGCAGCACUCUGGGCCGGAACUGACGCUGAGGAGCGAAAGCGUGGGGAGCGAACAGGAUUAGAUACCCUGGUAGUCCACGCCGUAAACGUUGGGCACUAGGUGUGGGUCUCAACCAACGAGAUCCGUGCCGUCGCUAACGCAUUAAGUGCCCCGCCUGGGGAGUACG
rnacentral:rRNA from 1 species